rnacentral:lncRNA from 1 species
UCGUCACGGCUCCGACGGCUCCUCCCGCCGAGGACGCGGUCGGACGUGACGGGGCGGUGAAGUCGCUCCCCUCCUUCCCCCGUUCUCACAACUCCCCAGAGUCGCUGGGGGCGAAUCCGGUUUUCGGGACAACGGAGAUGGGUUUGUCGAUACCGACGCCAAGCUCCAGAAGAUCGUGGCAGCCAUCAAAGCGGCCUUGGCCUAGGAGCAGGGAAAUGUCCUGACGGAUCGUCGCGCAGCAAAGCUUAACGAGCAGCCGCCUCGUUCAAGUCGGCCGAGCGCUCCAUGACGG